CCUACGGGAGGCAGCAGUGAGGAAUAUUGGUCAAUGGACGAGAGUCUGAACCAGCCAAGUAGCGUGAAGGAUGACUGCCCUAUGGGUUGUAAACUUCUUUUAUAAAGGAAUGAAACGAGGCACGUGUGCCUUUUUGCAUGUACUUUAUGAAUAAGGAUCGGCUAACUCCGUGCCAGCAGCCGCGGUAAUACGGAGGAUCCGAGCGUUAUCCGUAUUUAUUGGGUUUAAAGGGAGCGUAGAUGGGUUGUUAAGUCAGUUGUGAAAGUUUGCGGCUCAACCGUAAAAUUGCAAUUGAUACUGGCAGUCGUGAGUACAGUUGAGGUAGGCGGAAUUCGUGGUGUAGCGGUGAAAUGCUUAGAUAUCACGAAGAACCCCGAUUGCGAAGGCAGCUUACUAAACUGUGACUGACAUUGAUGCUCGAAAGUGUGGGUAUCAAACAGGAUUAGAUACCCUUGUAGUC
rnacentral:rRNA from 1 species